rnacentral:lncRNA from 1 species
UCUCUCUCCCGCCAUGUCUGUCUGUCUGUCUGUCUCUUUCUCGCACUCCGCAGGAAAGCUACACCGGGGUUCCAUCAUCGUCCCAAUCUCGGCGGUGUCCCUCAGAUUGCCCCACUAUCCCCGAACAAAAUUACCCGAGUGAACGGCAGGUGUCCUUGGGCGGUGGCAACUCGCCGGAGAAGGCUGGAGCUCGGGGGCGCCGCUGCCUCGGGGUCCUCCUCUCCUCUGUCGCACCGUCCGUCUGCUACCUGGAC